rnacentral:pre_miRNA from 1 species
GGGGGGAGCACCGGAUCCUGGCCUGUGUCCCCCAACACCCUGGGCUCCAGGGCCUGCGCUGCUGGAAUCGCACUCCCGGGCCGCGCAGCCCCCU